rnacentral:rRNA from 1 species
AGCAGCCGCGGUAAUUCCAGCUCCAAUAGCGUAUAUUAAAGUUGCUGCAGUUAAAAAGCUCGUAGUUGAAUUUCGGGACUAAUAUGUCGGUCGUGCCUCGGUACGUACUGGUAUUUUUGGUUUCUCCCUUCUGACGAACCUUGAUGUCAUUAAUUUGGUGUCUUGGGAAAUCAGGACUGUUACUUUGAAAAAAUUAGAGUGUUUAAAGCAGGCUCACGCUUGAAUACAUUAGCAUGGAAUAAUGAAAUAGGACGUUUGAUUCUAUUUUGUUGGUUCUAGGAUCGACGUAAUGAUUAAUAGGGAUAGUUGGGGGCAUUAGUAUUCAAUUGUCAGAGGUGAAAUUCUUGGAUUUAUUGAAGACUAACUACUGCGAAAGCAUUUUGCCAAGGAUGUUUUCAUUAAUCAAGAACGAAAGUUAGGGGAUCGAAGACGAUCAGAUACCGUCGUAGUCUUAACCAUAAACUAUGCCGGCUAGGGAUCGGAUGAUGUUAAUUUUUUCAAUGACUCAUUCGGCGCCUUA